ACACGCAUGACACACUGCAUAUCAAUAAGCGGAGGAAAAGAAACUAACAAGGAUUCCCCUUAGUAACGGCGAGUGAAGCGGGAAGAGCUCAAAUUUGAAAUCUUCAAGGGUUCUACCUUUACGAAUUGUAGUUUAAAGAAGUGUUUUCUGUUGGAGUUUCGGUAAAAGUUCUUUGGAAUAGGACAUCAUAGGGGGUGAGAAUCCCGUAUUUGACCAUUAUUUUCCAGCUGUGUGAUACACUUUCAAAGAGUCGGAUUGUUUGGGAAUGCAGUCCAAAAUGGGUGGUAAAUUUCAUCUAAAGCUAAAUAUUGGCGGGAGACCGAUAGCGAACAAGUAUCGUGAGGGAAAGAUGAAAAGAACUUUGAAAAGAGAGUUAAACAGUACGUGAAAUUGUCAAAAGGGAAGCGUUUGACACCAGUGUUGUUUUUCCGAAAAUCAAUUAAAAAUUGAUUCAUGCCAGGUUGUAUUGACCUUAUCAGCUUGCAAUUUGGUUUUGGGUCUCUUUUUGAUGCACUUUUCGGUUAACAAGUCAACAUCAAUUUCCUUUGCUGUAAAAAGGUAAGAGGAAGGUGGCUUCAAUUUCGGUUGAAGUGUUUAUAGCCUUUUAUCUCUGCAGUCGGGGAGAUUGAGGUCUGCAGCGUAGAUCCUUCGGGGCUAGAUACAUUUAUGCUAAGUUAUAGCUUUUCAUAGACAACUUGUUGACUAUGUUUAGUCAUGUAGCUUACUCGUAAGUGCUAUUUUACCUACGCUUAGGAUGUUGAUCUACAGAGCGAGAGU
rnacentral:rRNA from 1 species